rnacentral:rRNA from 1 species
UACGUAGGGUGCAAGCGUUGUCCGGAAUUAUUGGGCGUAAAGAGCUCGUAGGCGGUUUGUUGCGUCGGCUGUGAAAUCCCGAGGCUCAACCUCGGGUCUGCAGUCGAUACGAGCAAACUAGAGUGUUGCAGGGGAGACUGGAAUUCCUGGUGUAGCGGUGAAAUGCGCAGAUACUCAGGGAGGAACACCGGUGGGCGGAAGGCG